UACGUAGGGGGCUAGCGUUGUCCGGAAUCAUUGGGCGUAAAGAGCGUGUAGGCGGCCCGGUAAGUCCGCUGUAAAAGUCAAAGGCUCAACCUUUGAAUGUCAGUGGAUACUGCCGGGCUAGAGUCCGGAAGAGGCGAGUGGAACUCCUGGUGUAGCGGUGGAAUGCGCAGAUAUCAGGAAGAACACCAACGGCGAAGGCAGCUCGCUGGGACGGUACUGACGCUGAGACGCGAAAGCCAGGGGAGCAAACGGG
rnacentral:rRNA from 1 species